UGGGGAAUAUUGGACAAUGGGCGAAAGCCUGAUCCAGCCAUGCCGCGUGUGUGAAGAAGGUCUUCGGAUUGUAAAGCACUUUAAGUUGGGAGGAAGGGCAGUAAGCGAGUACCUUGCUGUUUUGACGUUACCGACAGAAUAAGCACCGGCUAACUCUGUGCCAGCAGCCGCGGUAAUACAGAGGGUGCAAGCGUUAAUCGGAUUUACUGGGCGUAAAGCGUGCGUAGGCGGCUAAUUGAGUCGGAUGUGAAAUCCCCGAGCUUAACUUGGGAAUUGCAUUCGAUACUGGUUAGCUAGAGUGUGGGAGAGGAUGGUAGAAUUCCAGGUGUAGCGGUGAAAUGCGUAGAGAUCUGGAGGAAUACCGAUGGCGAAGGCAGCCAUCUGGCCUAACACUGACGCUGAGGUACGAAAGCAUGGGGAGCAAACAGG
rnacentral:rRNA from 1 species